GACGAACGCUGGCGGCGUGCUUAACACAUGCAAGUCGAGCGGAAAGGCCACUUCGGUGGUACUCGAGCGGCGAACGGGUGAGUAACACGUGAGUAAUCUGCCCCUGGCUUUGGGAUAGCCACCGGAAACGGUGAUUAAUACCGGAUACGACCACUUCUCGCAUGGGAUGGUGGUGGAAAGUUUUUUCGGCCAGGGAUGUGCUCGCGGCCUAUCAGCUUGAUGGUGAGGUAAUGGCUCACCAUGGCUUCGACGGGUAGCCGGCCUGAGAGGGUGAACGGUAACACUGGGACUGAGACACGGCCCAGACUCCUACGGGAGGCAGCAGUGGGGAAUAUUGGACAAUGGGCGGAAGCCUGAUCCAGCAACGCCGCGUGAGGGAUGACGGCCUUCGGGUUGUAAACCUCUUUCAGCAGGGACGAAGCGCAAGUGACGGUACCUGCAGAAGAAGCACCGGCCAACUACGUGCCAGCCGCCGCAGUAA
rnacentral:rRNA from 1 species